ACGCUGGCGGCGUGCUUAACACAUGCAAGUCGAACGGAAAGGCCCUGCUUUUGUGGGGUGCUCGAGUGGCGAACGGGUGAGUAACACGUGAGUAACCUGCCCUUGACUUUGGGAUAACUUCAGGAAACUGGGGCUAAUACCGGAUAGGAGCUCCUGCUGCAUGGUGGGGGUUGGAAAGUUUCGGCGGUUGGGGAUGGACUCGCGGCUUAUCAGCUUGUUGGUGGGGUAGUGGCUUACCAAGGCUUUGACGGGUAGCCGGCCUGAGAGGGUGACCGGCCACAUUGGGACUGAGAUACGGCCCAGACUCCUACGGGAGGCAGCAGUGGGGAAUAUUGCACAAUGGGCGGAAGCCUGAUGCAGCAACGCCGCGUGCGGGAUGACGGCCUUCGGGUUGUAAACCGCUUUCGCCUGUGACGAAGCGUGAGUGACGGUAAUGGGUAAAGAAGCACCGGCUAACUACGUGCCAGCAGCCGCGGUGAUACGUAGGGUGCGAGCGUUGUCCGGAUUUAUUGGGCGUAAAGGGCUCGUAGGUGGUUGAUCGCGUCGGAAGUGUAAUCUUGGGGCUUAACCCUGAGCGUGCUUUCGAUACGGGUUGACUUGAGGAAGGUAGGGGAGAAUGGAAUUCCUGGUGGAGCGGUGGAAUGCGCAGAUAUCAGGAGGAACACCAGUGGCGAAGGCGGUUCUCUGGGCCUUUCCUGACGCUGAGGAGCGAAAGCGUGGGGAGCGAACAGGCUUAGAUACCCUGGUAGUCCACGCUGUAAACGGUGGGUACUAGGUGUGGGGUCCAUUCCACGGGUUCCGUGCCGUAGCUAACGCUUUAAGUACCCCGCCUGGGGAGUACGGCCGCAAGGCUAAAACUCAAAGGAAUUGACGGGGCCCCGCACAAGCGGCGGAGCAUGCGGAUUAAUUCGAUGCAACGCGUAGAACCUUACCUGGGUUUGACAUGGAUCGGGAGUGCUCAGAGAUGGGUGUGCCUCUUUUGGGGUCGGUUCACAGGUGGUGCAUGCCUGUCGUCAGCUCGUGUCGUGAGAUGUUGGGUUAAGUCCCGCAACGAGCGCAACCCUUGUUCACUGUUGCCAGCACGUUAUGGUGGGGACUCAGUGGAGACCGCCGGGGUCAACUCGGAGGAAGGUGGGGAUGACGUCAAGUCCUCAUGCCCCUUAUGUCCAGGGCUUCACGCAUGCUACAAUGGCUGGUACAGAGAGUGGCGAGCCUGUGAGGGUGAGCGAAUCUCGGAAAGCCGGUCUCAGUUCGGAUUGGGGUCUGCAACUCGACCUCAUGAAGUCGGAGUCGCUAGUAAUCGCAGAUCAGCAACGCUGCGGUGAAUACGUUCCCGGGGCUUGUACACACCGCCCGUCAAGUCAUGAAAGUUGGUAACACCCGAAGCCGGUGGCCUAACCGUUGUGGGGGAGCCGUCGAAGGUGGGACUGGU
rnacentral:rRNA from 1 species